UGGGGGAUAUUGCGCAAUGGGGGCAACCCUGACGCAGCAACGCCGCGUGAAGGAUGAAGGUUUUCGGAUUGUAAACUUCUUUUAUUAAGGACGAAAAAUGACGGUACUUAAUGAAUAAGCUCCGGCUAACUACGUGCCAGCAGCCGCGGUAAUACGUAGGGAGCAAGCGUUGUCCGGAUUUACUGGGUGUAAAGGGUGCGUAGGCGGCUUUGCAAGUCAGAUGUGAAAUCUAUGGGCUCAACCCAUAAACUGCAUUUGAAACUGUAGAGCUUGAGUGAAGUAGAGGCAGGCGGAAUUCCCCGUGUAGCGGUGAAAUGCGUAGAGAUGGGGAGGAACACCAGUGGCGAAGGCGGCCUGCUGGGCUUUAACUGACGCUGAGGCACGAAAGCGUGGGUAGCAAACAGGAUUAGAUACCCUGGUAGUCCACGCUGUAAACGAUGAUUACUAGGUGUGGGGGGUCUGACCCCUUCCGUGCCGGAGUUAACACAAUAAGUAAUCCACCUGGGGAGUACGGCCGCAAGGUUGAAACUCAAAGGAAUUGACGGGGGCCCGCACAAGCAGUGGAGUAUGUGGUUUAAUUCGAAGCAACGCGAAGAACCUUACCAGGUCUUGACAUCCAACUAACGAAGUAGAGAUACAUUAGGUGCCCUUCGGGGAAAGUUGAGACAGGUGGUGCAUGGUUGUCGUCAGCUCGUGUCGUGAGAUGUUGGGUUAAGUCCCGCAACGAGCGCAACCCUUGCUAUUAGUUGCUACGCAAGAGCACUCUAAUAGGACUGCCGUUGACAAAACGGAGGAAGGUGGGGACGACGUCAAAUCAUCAUGCCCCUUAUGACCUGGGCUACACACGUACUACAAUGGGUGUUAACAGAGGGAAGCAAGACAGCGAUGUGGAGCAAACCCCUAAAAACAUUCUCAGUUCAGAUUGCAGGCUGCAACCCGCCUGCAUGAAGAUGGAAUUGCUAGUAAUCGCGGAUCAGCAUGCCGCGGUGAAUACGUUCCC
rnacentral:rRNA from 1 species